rnacentral:rRNA from 1 species
CCUUCCUACGGGAGGCAGCAGUGGGGGAUAUUGCACAAUGGGGGAAACCCUGAUGCAGCGACGCCGCGUGGGUGAAGAAGCGCCUCGGCGCGUAAAGCCCUGUCAGCAGGGAAGAAAAAAGACGGUACCUGACUAAGAAGCCCCGGCUAACUACGUGCCAGCAGCCGCGGUAAUACGUAGGGGGCGAGCGUUAUCCGGAUUUACUGGGUGUAAAGGGGGCGCAGACGGCCAUGGCAAGCCCGGUGUGAAAGGUGCGGGCACAACCCGCAGACUGCACUGGUAACUGCCUGGCUGGAGUGCCGGAG